ensembl:misc_RNA Metazoa_SRP Metazoan signal recognition particle RNA
GCUGGGCAUGGUGGUGCAUGCCUGUGGUCCUAGCUACUUGGGAGGCUGAGGCAGGAGGAUCACUUGAACCUGGGAAGUCGAGGCUGCAGUGAGCUGAGAUUGCACUACUGCACUCCAGCCUGGGCGACAAAGUGAGACCCUGUUUCAA